AUGGGGAAGGAGGUUGGAGUAAAACAGGGAGGUGGUGUGUUUAGGUUCGAAGCAAAAUGGCUGCCGGAGGAGGAAUGUGCGCGGGUGGCUGAGGAGGCAUGGAAUGCAGCUUUCAAGGAGGGGGGUGUUUUGGUUCAGGGGCGCUUAAACAAGAUGGAUGGCGAGCUGACAAAGUGGGACCAGGAGGUCCUUGGAGAAUUGAAGGAACGUAUUAAAAAAGCAAGGAAAGAACUUGAGCAGUGCAGGCGUGCCUGUCUGGACCAACAUCAAAUUAAUCAUGAGCAUCUACUAUGCUAUAAACUUAACAGAUUGGAGGAUCAGUACAACUUAUAUUGGCGCCAAAGAUCUCAUGUGAACUGGUUGGAAAAGGGUGACAAGAACACAAAUUUUUUCCAUGCGCAGGCGAAUGAGAGGAAGAAAGUUAACACGAUAAAGAAGUUAAGGAAGGAUGGAGGAGAAGUACUGGAGAGAGAAGUGGAGAUAGGGAAUUUUAUUACUAACCACUACAAAAGUUUGUUCACAUCUUCUGCAUGUCUCACAAAUGAUGAUGCCUUAUCAUAUGUUCCCAAGUCGGUCACACCAUACAUGAACUCUCGUCUCACAUGCAAGUUCAAUGAGCGGGAAGUUAAAGAGGCCUUGGACUCUAUUGGUGACUUGAAAGCACCAGGACCUGACGGGAUGCCGGCUAUCUUCUAUAAAAAGUUCUGGGAGGUUGUUGGAACGAAGGUGAAAGAAGAGGUUCUUGAGGUGCUGAAUGGUGGACCGAUGCCAGUGGGAUGGGAUGAGAACACGAUUGUGCUUAUACCGAAGGUGAAGAACCCAGAAAGAGUGACUGAGUUUAGACAUAUAAGCCUCUGUAACGUUCUAUACAAACUAAUCUCCAAGGUACUAGCAAACCGGCUCAAGGAGAUCCUACCAGAAAUUAUCUCGCCAACAGAAUGA
rnacentral:rRNA from 1 species